UACGUAGGUGGCAAGCGUUGUCCGGAUUUACUGGGCGUAAAGAGCGCGCAGGCGGUCGUUCAAGUCGCGUGUGAAAGCCCCCGGCUCAACUGGGGAGGGUCACGCGAUACUGAUCGACUCGAAGGCAGGAGAGGGUAGUGGAAUUCCCGGUGUAGUGGUGAAAUGCGUAGAUAUCGGGAGGAACACCUGAGGCGAAGGCGGGCUACUGGGCCGAUACUGACGCUGAUGCGCGAAAGCGUGGGGAGCAAACAGG
rnacentral:rRNA from 1 species